rnacentral:tRNA from 1 species
GCCCGGGUGGCGAAAUAGGUAGACGCAGCAGACUCAAAAUCUGCCGGCCGCAAGGCCAUGCCGGUUCGAUUCCGGCCCCGGGCACCA